AGAGUUUGAUCCUGGCUCAGAUUGAACGCUGGCGGAAUGCUUUACACAUGCAAGUCGAACGGCAGCACGGGGGCAACCCUGGUGGCGAGUGGCGAACGGGUGAGUAAUACAUCGGAACGUGCCCAGUCGUGGGGGAUAACGUAGCGAAAGCUACGCUAAUACCGCAUACGAACUCUGGUUGAAAGCGGGGGAUCGCAAGACCUCGCGCGAUUGGAGCGGCCGAUGGCAGAUUAGGUAGUUGGUGGGGUAAAGGCUCACCAAGCCCACGAUCUGUAGCUGGUCUGAGAGGACGACCAGCCACACUGGGACUGAGACACGGCCCAGACUCCUACGGGAGGCAGCAGUGGGGAAUUUUGGACAAUGGGCGCAAGCCUGAUCCAGCCAUUCCGCGUGCAGGAUGAAGGCCCUCGGGUUGUAAACUGCUUUUGUACGGAACGAAAAGGCCUGGGUUAAUACCUCGGGCUCAUGACGGUACCGCCAGAAAACCCCG
rnacentral:rRNA from 1 species